ACUCAAAGGAAUAGACGGGGGUCCGCACAAGCAGUGGAUCAUGUUCUUUAAUUCGAUGCUAAGCGAAGAACCUUACCAGGGUUUGACAUCCUCGGAAUUACUACGAAAGUAGUGAGUGCCUUCGGGAACCGAGUGACAGGUGAUGCAUGGCCGUCGUCAGCUCGUGUCGUGAGAUGUUUGGUUAAGUCCAUCAACGAGCGCAACCCUUAUGAUUAGUUGGAUUUUUCUAAUCAGACUGCCCCGGUAACGGGGAGGAGGGAGGGGAUGAUGUCAGGUCAGUAUUUCCCUUACACCCUGGGCUAGAAACGUGAUACAAUGGCCGGUACAAUGGGCAGCCAAGUCGCGAGGCGGAGCAAAUCCCAUCAAAGCCGGUCUCAGUUCGGAUUGCAGGCUGAAACUCGCCUGCAUGAAGCUGGAAUUGCUAGUAAUCGCAGGUCAGCACACUGCGGUGAAUACGUUCCCGGACCUUGCACACACCGCCCGU
rnacentral:rRNA from 1 species